rnacentral:tRNA from 1 species
AGUCUCGUAGCUCAGCUGGUUAGAGCGCUACACUGAUAAUGUAGAGGUCCGCGGUUCAAUUCCGCGCGAGACUA